UAUCUAUCCAUAUUCUUUUAUAAAAUCCUAAUUUCUAACCCUAAAUUCCCAAAUUGGAAAUCAGAAACCCUAAUCCUAAUUUUCCCCUUUUCCCCAGCCUCAGAACGCAGCCCUCACCCCACCUUUCUUCCAAAACACUAACACCCAAACAAAAGAAAGAAACAAAGAAAUGGAAAGGGAGAACAGAGAGCGUGGAAUCAGAGAAGAGGGAGCCACACUCUGCUCUGUCCAGCUCGCCACCGCAGCACCUCGCCUUGCCAUCACCGUUGCUGGAGCAAGGUCACAUCGCCAUCAGAUUUGAAGUCGUUGAGGAGCUGAACGCUCGCGAGGGAGAGGACAAACACGAGGAGAGCUUGUGCGCGAAGGGUAGCGCCGCUGUGUCUCUGUCGCGCCUUCAUCACUGUCGAAGCUGCACUUUCGCGUCACCAUCGUUGUGCCUCCACCGAACCCGUCACACCGCUGCUGUUGCGAUGUCAUACCUGUCGCGAGGGAGAAGAGAUGCGUGAGGAAGGAAGCUCGCAGGGGAGAAAGAAGAGGCUGCCUGUGCCACCCGCUCUGUCGCGUCUGAUCUCUGUUAUCGCCGCGUCGCCGCCACUGAAGGUCCGCCGCCAUUGUUUUCAUCGCCUCCAUGCUUCAUGUUCAUCCUGCCAAUCAUCACUGUCUUUGUUCGGUAUUGCUGUCCUUAUCCGGAACCACCGAUGUCAUUGUUGUUGCUUCCCCAGAAGAACUGAGGUUAUUGCUACUGUUCCGGCCGUACUAGCUAUUGUAAACUGGAAAAAGAAGGGGAUCGCCACGUUUAAUUUUGUGGAUUUCGACUAACUGAGUGACACAGGUUCGAAGACUCCGUUUGAAGCUGCAGGCGAUUAUAGAUCUUAUUUAUGAGUUAAGUUUAUGACUUGAGUUAUUUUCAUAGAAGUUCCCUCGCUCUUAUUGCUUAACAUUUUUAUUUUAUACAGAGGGAUAGGAUUUGUAUGCGAGUUUUGUUUGAAAUCUUUUGUAUGACAGAUAUUAUUAUUAAUGAUUAUGUGAUUAUUAUUACUUGGUGAU